AGUCCCUGGGUUGGGAAGAUCCCCUGGAGGAGGGCAUGACCACCCGCUCUAGGACUCUUGCCUGGAAAAUUUCAUGAGCAGGGGAGCCUGGCAGGCUACAGUCCAUAGCAUAACAGAGUUGGACAUGACUGAGCGACUGAAUGGACCUGAACUGAUAGUCUUAUGAAUUAGUUCAGCCAGUGGUUUGGGAAUGGAAGUGUCUAGAUCAUCUCCUUAAAGUUACAAGUCCUGGGCUUCUGUUCUCUCCUUUUUCUGCAGGCUGGGUCACUGACAUAGAGGUGACCCAGCUUUCGGCAUGUAGAUAAGGACAACACCCUGGGGACCAGUGGAAGGAGCCUCCGUCCUGACCGGACCAUGUGGAGGAGAAAAGCCCAGCCCACCCUGCUGCUCAUCUCCAGACUGCUGUUUGACUCAUCAUACAUUCGGGCCUCUUGUCACGGUAUUACUCUCCAAUAAAUUUUCUAACUCCAUUUCAGCAUCUGCUUCUCAGAGAAUGCAAGUUCAAUAGUUGGUAUCAAGAAUGACCUGAGAAAGCAAGUAAUGAGACAAAGGUCUGGGGACUAGGUCACUCACCACCCACCACCCACCAUCACUUCAUAUGAAGACCUGCAUCCCUGGUGGUAAGUGGUGUGCAGACAGCCCCUGGCAUUAAAUG
rnacentral:lncRNA from 1 species